rnacentral:rRNA from 1 species
UACCAGCACCCCGAGUGGUCGGGACGAUUAUUGGGCCUAAAGCGUCCGUAGCCGGUCCUGCAAGUCUUCCGUUAAAUCCAGCUGCUCAACAGAUGGGCUGCGGGAGAUACUACAGGGCUAGGAGGCGGGAGAGGCAAGCGGUACUUUAUGGGUAGGGGUAAAAUCCGCUGAUCCAUAGAAGACCACCAGUGGCGAAGGCGGCUUGCCAGAACGCGCUCGACGGUGAGGGAUGAAAGCUGGGGGAGCAAACCGG